UACGUAGGGUGCAAGCGUUGUCCGGAAUUAUUGGGCGUAAAGAGCUCGUAGGCGGUUUGUCGCGUCUGCUGUGAAAACUCGGGGCUUAACCCCGGGCCUGCAGUGGGUACGGGCAGACUAGAGUGCGGUAGGGGAGACUGGAAUUCCUGGUGUAGCGGUGAAAUGCGUAGAUAUCGGGAGGAACACCUGUGGCGAAAGCGGCUCUCUGGACCACAACUGACGCUGAGGCGCGAAAGCUAGGGGAGCAAACAGG
rnacentral:rRNA from 1 species